UACGUAGGUGGCAAGCGUUGUCCGGAUUUACUGGGCGUAAAGAGCGCGCAGGCGGUCGUUCAAGUCGCGUGUGAAAGCCCCCGGCUCAACUGGGGAGGGUCACGCGAUACUGAUCGACUCGAAGGCAGGAGAGGGAAGUGGAAUUCCCGGUGGUAGUGGUGAAAUGCGUAGAUAUCGGGAGGAACACCAGUGGCGAAGGCGACUUCCUGGCCUGUUCUUGACGCUGAGGCGCGAAAGCUAGGGAGCAAAGCGG
rnacentral:rRNA from 1 species